UUGAAAAGAGAGUUAAACAGCACGUGAAAUUGUUGAAAGGGAAGCGCUUGGGACCAGACUCGCCCGCGGGGUUCAGCCGGCAUUCGUGCCGGUGUACUUCCCCGUGGGCGGGCCAGCGUCGGUUUGGGCGGCCGGUCAGCGGCUCCCGGAAUGUAGCGCCUCUCGGGGCGCCUUAUAGCCGGGGGUGCAGUGCGGCCAGCCUGGACCGAGGAACGCGCUUCGGCACGGACGCUGGCAUAAUGGUCGUAAACGACCCGUCUUGAAACACGGACCAAGACGCGUCUCGUUUACGA
rnacentral:rRNA from 1 species